AUUUCCUUCUCCUCGCUCUCGAGCGUGUCUAACGCGCCGGGCAGCGAAUGGGAUCUUGAGGGUGGUCGGCGCGCACCCGCAGCCGUCCCUCGAAAUCGAGUGGAGCGCCGUGGCGAUCCGAAUCCGACGUUGUAAUCGCAUAUGCGUUCCUCGUUGGGGAGGGGGAUCGGUCGAGGCCGCUACCAAAAACGGCCACUUCGGUGGCCCAUGAAC
rnacentral:misc_RNA from 1 species